rnacentral:lncRNA from 1 species
AUAGCCUGGGUCACUAUAAAAUGGAAAUCUCUAGAAUGGAGACGAAGCCGACAGCGUACGCGGCCUGAAAUCGUCUUUUUACACCAUGACAAAAGUUUAUUUGUGUUCCAAUAGACUGCAAUACCAAACUAUUCCGCAUCGACGACGGUUGUGACUGUGAUCUCUCGGGAGAUGCCUCUGAUAAAACCCUGAACGAUCAGUUCAUACCUGUUUAUAAAUAAGCAUUGCCAAUUUUUGUUUCAUGACAUUGGUUACCAUCUGGAGGUAAGCAGAGCGAGAAGUGGCAAUAGUGUGAAUAGCAGUGAUAACCUGUGGCGCUUUGUGCCUCUAGAACACGUCUGAGACGUUUCCUGGCGGCUCAGGUUCUC